AACGAACGCUGGCGGCAUGCCUAACACAUGCAAGUCGAACGAGACCUUCGGGUCUAGUGGCGCACGGGUGCGUAACGCGUGGGAACCUGCCCUUAGGUUCGGAAUAACUCCCCGAAAGGGGUCCUAAUACCGGUUAAUCUCUUCGGACCAAAGAUUUAUCGCCUUUGGAUGGGCCCGCGUUGGAUUAGCUAGUUGGUAGGGUAAAAGCCUACCAAGGCGACGAUCCUUAGCUGGUCUGGGAGGAUGAUCAGCCACACUGGGGCUGAGGCACGGCCCAGACUCCGACGGAGGGGAGCAGUGGGGAAUAUUGGACAAGGGGGGAAGGCCUGAUCAAGCAAUGCCGCGUGAGUGAUGAAGGCCUUAGGGUUGUAAAGCUCUUUUACCCGGGAUGAUAAUGACAGUACCGGGAGAAUAAGCUCCGGCUAACUCCGUG
rnacentral:rRNA from 1 species